UACAGAGGUCUCAAGCGUUGUUCGGAUUCAUUGGGCGUAAAGGGUGCGUAGGCGGCCCUGCAAGUCGGAUGUGAAAUCCCACGGCUCAACCGUGGAAGUGCAUUCGAAACUGCAGGGCUAGAGUCCUGGAGAGGAAGGUGGAAUGCUUGGUGUAGAGGUGAAAUUCGUAGAUAUCAAGCGGAACACCGGUGGCGAAGGCGGCCUUCUGGACAGUGACUGACGCUGAGACGCGAAAGCGUGGGGAGCAAACAGG
rnacentral:rRNA from 1 species